AUUGAACGCUAGCGGGAUGCCUUACACAUGCAAGUCGAACGGCAGCGCGGACUUCGGUCUGGCGGCGAGUGGCGAACGGGUGAGUAACGUAUCGGAACGUGCCCAGUAGCGGGGGAUAACUACUCGAAAGAGUAGCUAAUACCGCAUACGCCCUACGGGGGAAAGGGGGGGAUCGCAAGACCUCUCACUAUUGGAGCGGCCGAUAUCGGAUUAGCUAGUUGGUGAGGUAAAGGCUCACCAAGGCGACGAUCCGUAGCUGGGUUGAGAGGACGGCCAGCCAAACGGGGAGUGAGACACGGCCCAAACUCCUGCGGGAGGCAGCAGUGGGGAAUUUUGGACAAUGGGGGCAACCCUGAUCCAGCCAAUCCGCGUGUGCGAUGAAGGCCUUCGGGUUGUAAAGCACUUUUGGCAGGAAAGAAAUCGCACGGAUUAAUACUCUGUGUGGAUGACGGUACCUGCAGAAUAAGCACCGGCUAACUACGUGCCAGCCGCCGCAGUAA
rnacentral:rRNA from 1 species